ACAACGCUACAAAUGGUGGAUAUAAAUAAGAGAGGAAAUAGUGUGUUAGGAGACAUUAGAAACAUCGUUUAGGUUACACAACGAGCAGGUUCGGCAUUCCAAACGAUGUGCGCGGGUAGGUCGGAAGGCUGCGGAGCGCUCAGGAGGAGCACUGGAAGAUAUUGACAUGUUUUGUUGCCCUGGGUCCUAAAGCCAACAUAGUUCAAGAUUAAAACGCCACAUAACAGGCAGGACUAAGGACUGAUACAUCUGUGUGGCAGCAAGCAGCCAGGGCCGCCACAGCCAUUUACUGGUGUAGAUAAUGAAGAAGGACCUGAAUCCAUUGAGAUCCCUGUCCUUUCAUGUGGCUCCCCUGUGGCACACAGAGAGACCCAGGAGAAUGUCUGGUACUGCCCGGUGCUGGACGGUACUAUGGGACAGGGGCCAUGCCAAGGGCAUCUGCGUGGAGAUCAGCCAGAAAGGCAGGGCUGAUGGCUACCCAGCAGACCUUCCAAAACAACCCAGGGCUGUAACCCAACAUGGACUUGAUGUCAUUACUGAACCUCUG